GAGUCCUGGCUGACGGUGCUCUCCGUGCCCGUUAUCCGGACCGCCUUCCUGCCAGAGGAGCGUCCGGAGACGUGUGGGACCUCUGGUCGGGUUCGCUGGGUCGGGGAGUUUGGAUCGAAAAAGCAGAUGGACUCCAUUUAAGACCAGGAACCAUUUUGAGACUCUUCCUAAGUUAGGGACUGGAGGGCCACUUCUCAGGGUGUGCACCUUGAGACGUUCCAAGGCCCCUGCAGGCUUGAUUUCAGUUACGAGGUCCACAGCUGCACCAAAAGAAAACCAGCAGGCACCUGUAUGAGGAGCCUCCAUUGGCUGCCCAACUGACCGGGCACUGCUUGCCUGACCCACCUGUUCCAACCUGAUGACACUGCCAUUUCAAGACUCACUGGAUGGAACCAAGACGAUGCCCCUCUAUCAGGAUUCUCUGGAUGCCCAGUGCUGUCUGUCUGUCUCAGCAGAUUUCCACUUGGCUGACAGACACCAUCCAGGAAUCAACUAUGGACUACAAACUGCUCGAAACGGCCCUGAGCUCUGGACUCGAUAAAUGCGGCUAUGAACCAGUCGCCGAUGUCGCUCCCUGUGUCUUCUGCUGGGUCAUCUAACCGGAUGCUCCUGAUAACAGAGGCCUGUGCCUGGAAUGGCUUGGCCUCCUGGAGGUCCCUGGCCGUCUCCCUACAAAAAGAUGAUGACUGGGGUCUAUGCUUGCAGUGGAGGUGCCUUCUGUGUUCUAGCCUUGGUGAUCUUAGCAACUUUAAGCCUGUCAACAAUAUCUGAUUUUAAGAAUGUAGCAGUGUGGGAAGAUGGUCAUGGACCUUUAGAUGUCUCAGGAACUGAAAGUUCAGAGACAUCUAAACCACCACGUCUCACACCACCAUGAUCCUGAUGAACUCAACGGCUGCGAUGAACUCAACUGCUGCACCCAUUCGUUCCCAGCAAAUAGGAGAGAAAUUAAUUGCAGUUACUAAUAACAUGACUGUUCCAGAAAAGCCCCCCCCUUUGGGAAAGUUUUGUUUAGCAUGAUUCAGAAUAGUAGUGACUCUUAGAAAGAUCAUGGAUAAGUUCCAACAAGUUGAGCAAAUUUAUCAAGAGUUAACUAGAAGGAAAAGAGAAACUAACAUUGAGCAAGAAACGAAAGAAAUUAUAGAAUGGUUACAAAAGUUUCCUUUUUAUUCUGAGGGCCCAUAGAGUUUAAACUUUAUUAAAAUAAAGGUAAAUGUUAAAUGUAUAUCUGGUACCCACAAGUCUGGUAGUAUAACUGCAGUUUUCUAAACUAUUGUUUGCGGCUGAGAACUGUUUCCUGGACUGUAUAUUCAGCUUUCCUUCUUACAAGGGACAUUUGGUGGGGUGAUGAAUAAGAGCUGGAUGACUGCCAAUUAUGAUGCACCUGUUCUAACUGCUUAAAUAUGUGCCAAGAAGUAAAGCUUUUGCAGCAGCA